rnacentral:rRNA from 1 species
GGCGAACGGGUGAGUAAUACAUCGGAACGUGCCUAGUAGUGGGGGAUAACUACUCGAAAGAGUAGCUAAUACCGCAUGAGAUCUACGGAUGAAAGCAGGGGACCUUUGGGCCUUGUGCUACUAGAGCGGCUGAUGGCAGAUUAGGUAGUUGGUGGGGUAAAGGCUUACCAAGCCUGCGAUCUGUAGCUGGUCUGAGAGGACGACCAGCCACACUGGGACUGAGACACGGCCCAGACUCCUACGGGAGGCAGCAGUGGGGAAUUUUGGACAAUGGGCGAAAGCCUGAUCCAGCAAUGCCGCGUGCAGGAUGAAGGCCCUCGGGUUGUAAACUGCUUUUGUACGGAACGAAAAGCCUGGGGCUAAUAUCCCCGGGUCAUGACGGUACCGUAAGAAUAAGCACCGGCUAACUACGUGCCAGCAGCCGCGGUAAUACGUAGGGUGCAAGCGUUAAUCGGAAUUACUGGGCGUAAAGCGUGCGCAGGCGGUUUUGUAAGACAGUGGUGAAAUCCCCGGGCUCAACCUGGGAACUGCCAUUGUGACUGCAAGGCUAGAGUGCGGCAGAGGGGGAUGGAAUUCCGCGUGUAGCAGUGAAAUGCGUAGAUAUGCGGAGGAACACCGAUGGCGAAGGCAAUCCCCUGGGCCUGCACUGACGCUCAUGCACGAAAGCGUGGGGAGCAAAC